rnacentral:ribozyme from 1 species
UGCCCAGCAACUCCUAUCCCUACCUCCUCGUGGUACUGGCCGGAAACUAUGAGUAACCUUCGGGUAACCAACCUCGGUGGGAACUCUGGUCGUAGUCUGACAGGGAAGA